GUUACAUUGGGGGUGACCCGAUUACAAUAGGAGAUAUGCCACUACGAUGGGGUGAUUGAUCAAGAGAUGAGGUCUUGCGGAAGGAAUGUUGCAUCAGCGCCGACCAUUUCCUUGUGUCGGUGGCCAACAAGGAGAUGACCUAACUAAGACACGACCCACCUUCAAAAUAGGGCUAGAAUUCUACGCACUCAUAGUUGGAGUCACUGCCCUUGCUCUUCAUGGUGGGCGUGAUGUCAUCAGCAUCGUCACUCUUGCUGGAGGAACCAAAGUCCCUUCCGUUCGAGUUUUUAGUGCGGCUCUCCAACCUGCUACCGCCGAGUCGAUUCUAGUAAAAUACCAUUUUCAUUCUAGUUAUAUAUCGGAGGGUAGGAUUUUUUACUCCUCUUCUACGCUCUAGUGAGAAAUCAUGGUGUAGGAAUUUUAAUUCUACCCCUCAUCUCACUCAAAAAAAAUAGUAUCACGCAGGUAUUUUGGAACCUCUAUGAGGUCGAUGUGACGAAAUUCUGUACUUGGUGCCUCCUGUUUCCUAGGAGUACAUCUCCAAGGGGUUCUCGACAUAUCUCUAUCAUUCAGUUUCCU
rnacentral:lncRNA from 1 species